UCCCCUAGUAACUGCGAGUGAAGCGGGAAAAGCUCAAAUUUAAAAUCUGGCGGCUUUGUCGUCCGAGUUGUAAUCUGGAGAAGCGUUUUCCGUGUCGGACCGUGUACAAGUCUCUUGGAACAGAGCGUCAUAGAGGGUGAGAAUCCCGUAUAUGACACGGACAACCGAUACUUUGUGAUACGCUCUCGAAGAGUCGAGUUGUUUGGGAAUGCAGCUCAAAAGGGGUGGUAAAUUCCAUCUAAAGCUAAAUAUAGGCGAGAGACCGAUAGCGAACAAGUACCGUGAGGGAAAGAUGAAAAGCACUUUGGAAAGAGAGUUAAACAGUACGUGAAAUUGUUGAAAGGGAAACGCUUGAAGUCAGUCGCGUCUGCCGAGACUCAGCCUUACCUCGGUUUGGUGUACUUCUCGGUUGGACGGGUCAACAUCGGUUUUGACCGACGGAUAAGGGAGGAGGGAAUGUGGCACCUCCGGGUGUGUUAUAGCUCUCUUUCGUAUACGCCGGUGGGGACCGAGGACUGCAGCGCGCCCUUGUGGCCGAGGCUUUGCCUACGUUACGCGCUUAGGAUGUUGACAUAAUGGCUUUAAGCGACCCGUCUUGAAACACGGACCAAGGAGUCUAACAUGCUCGCGAGUGUUAGGGUGGAAAACCCUUGCGCGGAAUGAAAGUGAAAGUUGGGACCUCCGCGAGGAGGGCACCGACGCCCGGCCCUGAAGUUCUCUGACGGUGCUGCGGUAGAGCGCGUAUGUUGGGACCCGAAAGAUGGUGAACUAUGCCUGAAUAGGGCGAAGCCAGAGGAAACUCUGGUGGAGGCUCGUAGCGAUUCUGACGUGCAAAUCGAUCGUCAAAUUUGGG
rnacentral:rRNA from 1 species